AAAGGAAUUGACGGAAGAGCACCACAAGGUUGUGGAACUUGCGGUUUAAUUUGACUCAACACGGGAAAACUCACCAGGUCAGGACAUAAUAAGGAUUGACAGAUUAAUAGAUCUUUCAAAAUA
rnacentral:rRNA from 1 species